CAUUCAGGAACACCAUGGGGAAGAACUGGCCACCUGGUGCGAACCAAGCUGGGUAGUGUGCAUACCACAGCAAAGUGUUCUAGAUGAUAUGACUCUUACUCUGCCUCUUAUAGAGGCACAUGCUUUGAAGCAACAUGGGACAUCAGGGAGUCAGUAUGUAAGUGCCCUCUAUGGAGACAGCCUCAUCUAUGAAAUCACGGGGGAAGAGCCAAGGGUCAUCAUCUCCAAUGAAGAAGAAGGGCCAGAUGUUGUCGUCUCCAAGGCAACAGUUCUCACGGAAUAUCUGGUGACCU